CUUGCCCCGCGUUUCUUCUGUGCUUCCCGCUUCUGCUACUGCUGUCCGGCUGGUCCGGGUCAGGGCGGGCCGACACACACUGUCUUUGCUAUGACUUCAUCAUCACUCCUAAGUUCAGACCUGAACCACGAUGGUGUGAAGUUCAAGGCCUGGUGGAUGAAAGGCCUUUUCUUCACUAUGACUGUGUUAACCACAAGGCCAAAGCCUUUGCUUCUCUGCGGAAGAAAGUAAAUGUCACAAAAACCUGGGAAGAACAAACUGAAACACUAAGAGAUUUCUCCCUUCUCUCCCACACAAGCACACUAAGACAAACUGAAACACUAAGAGAUGUGGGGGAUUUCCUCAAAGGGCAACUGCCUGACAUUGAAAUGGAGAAUGUAAUACCCAUCGGUAAGUUUAAAAUAGUCCAGGACAGCAGAGAGCAGACACAGUAGUGUCUUAGAGGCAUUUAUUGGUUUCCUGUAAAAAAUAAAUCAGAAGUUUGUGUCACCCAAGAGGUUGAGGAGCAUGGGCCGGAUGCAGCAGAGAGAGCAAGUCCAGGAGCCAGGAAAGGAAGCAGGGUGGGGCUCAGGAUUUGUCAAGAUCAGAGCUGAUCUCUUUGCAAUAGGGCAGAGCCCCUCAUUCUGCAGGCCAGGAUGUCUUGUGAGCAUGAAGCCCACGGACACGGCAGAGGAUCUUGGCAGUUCCUCUUCAAUGGACAGACUUUCCUCCUCUUUGACUCAAACAACAGAAAGUAGACAGCACUUCAUCCUGGAGCCAAGAAGAUGACAGAGAAGUGGGAGAAGAACAAGGAGGUGACCGUGUUCUUCCAUAACAUUUCAAUGGGGGAUUGUAAGACAUGGCUUGAAGACUUUUUGAUAUACUGGGAACAAAUGCUGGAUCCAACAAAACCACCCUCUCUGACCCCAGGCACAACCCAACCCAAAGCCAUGGCCAGCACCCUCAGUCCCUGGAGCCUCCUCAUCAUCCUCUGCUUUAUCCUCCCUGGCAUCUGAGGAGAGUUCUUUAGAGUGACAGGUGGAAGGUGAUAUCAAGAAGCCUCUGUUAGCCUGGUCUGGGUCCUGCUCUCCCUUCAGGGAGGCCGCCUGUCUACUCACCACUGUGCCUUUCUGGAAAGCAGGAGUUCAAGCCUUAGCAAGCCCAGAGGCCCCCAGCAGAUGAUGAGGACAUUGUCGGCUCAACAUCUCAGGCCACUCAUUACCUUCGCUCAUGAUCCCAGCAGCCAUUUUUCUUAACACCUUCUGCCACUUUCUCUCGGUGCUAAUGGAUGGAACUCCUGCACAAGUUUUAACUGAACAAGAAAUCCCAGCAAAAAAGCAUUUUCUUUCUACUUUUUUGAUUGUGGAAAAGCAGACACUUCUCUGAAGCAUGACCUUAUUCUUCCAAACAGUAUCGCUUAUUCUUCCAGUGCAUGCUGGACUUCAGACCUCAGGGAUCCUUUCGAUGCACUGACCAAGAAUUGUAUUAAUUUUUUUUAUUUUUAUGGUUUUUUACAUUUUCUCAUCCUGUCAACCAUACUGGAGUGAAGUGGCAUAGUCUUCACUCACUGUAAUCUCCAGCUCCUGGGCUCAAGUGAUCCUCUAGACUCAGCCUCUAGAAAUAGCUGGGACUACAAGCGCAUGCCACCAUGCCCGGCACAUUGUUUUAUUUUUAGGUAGAGAUUGGGUCUUCCUAUGUUGCUCAGGCUAGUCUUCAACUCCUGGCCUCAAGCAAUCCUCCCACCUUGGCCUCCCAAUGCUCUGGGAUUACAGGCAUGAACCACAGUGCCUGUUGUAGAAAUUUUAAAUUAUUUAAUACGGAAAAGUAUUACAUUCAUGAUUAUUUUAUUUAGUAAUUUAUUAGCCUAGAUUUAUAGUUAAAUAAAGAUGUCUAUUUUCAAAGAA
rnacentral:lncRNA from 10 species